AUGCACGCUGGCGGCGUGCCUAAUACAUGCAAGUCGAGCGAACAGACGAGGAGCUUGCUCCUCUGACGUUAGCGGCGGACGGGUGAGUAACACGUGGAUAACCUACCUAUAAGACUGGGAUAACUUCGGGAAACCGGAGCUAAUACCGGAUAAUAUAUUGAACCGCAUGGUUCAAUAGUGAAAGACGGUUUUGCUGUCACUUAUAGAUGGAUCCGCGCCGCAUUAGCUAGUUGGUAAGGUAACGGCUUACCAAGGCAACGAUGCGUAGCCGACCUGAGAGGGUGAUCGGCCACACUGGAACUGAGACACGGUCCAGACUCCUACGGGAGGCAGCAGUAGGGAAUCUUCCGCAAUGGGCGAAAGCCUGACGGAGCAACGCCGCGUGAGUGAUGAAGGUCUUCGGAUCGUAAAACUCUGUUAUUAGGGGAGAACAAAUGUGUAAGUAACUAUGCACGUCUUGACGGUACCUAAUCAGAAAGCCACGGCUAACUACGUG
rnacentral:rRNA from 1 species